rnacentral:rRNA from 1 species
AAAUUGAAGAGUUUGAUCAUGGCUCAGAUUGAACGCUGGCGGCAGGCCUAACACAUGCAAGUCGAACGGUAACAGGAAGAAGCUUGCUUCUUUGCUGACGAGUGGCGGACGGGUGAGUAAUGUCUGGGAAACUGCCUGAUGGAGGGGGAUAACUACUGGAAACGGUAGCUAAUACCGCAUAACGUCGCAAGACCAAAGAGGGGGACCUUCGGGCCUCUUGCCAUCGGAUGUGCCCAGAUGGGAUUAGCUAGUAGGUGGGGUAACGGCUCACCUAGGCGACGAUCCCUAGCUGGUCUGAGAGGAUGACCAGCCACACUGGAACUGAGACACGGUCCAGACUCCUACGGGAGGCAGCAGUGGGGAAUAUUGCACAAUGGGCGCAAGCCUGAUGCAGCCAUGCCGCGUGUAUGAA